GUGCCCGUGGUCUAGUGGUUAUGACAUCCGCCUAACAGGCGGGUGGGCCCAGGUUCGAUCCCUGGCGGGCACA